CCUACGGGAGGCAGCAGUAAGGAAUAUUGGUCAAUGGAGGCAACUCUGAACCAGCCAUGCCGCGUGCAGGAUGACGGCCCUAUGGGUUGUAAACUGCUUUUAUACAAGAGAAAACCCUGGUACGUGUACCAGGUUGAUAGUAUUGUAAGAAUAAGCAUCGGCUAACUUCGUGCCAGCAGCCGCGGUAAGACGAAGGAUGCAAGCGUUAUCCGGAUUCAUUGGGUUUAAAGGGUGCGUAGGCGGACUGAUAAGUCAGUGGUGAAAUCUCUUUGCUUAACAAAGAAACUGCCAUUGAUACUGUCGGUCUAGAGUAUAGAUGACGUUGGCGGAAUAUGACAUGUAGUGGUGAAAUACUUAGAUAUGUCAUAGAACACCGAUUGCGAAGGCAGCUAACGAAACUAUAACUGACGCUGAGGCACGAAAGUGCGGGGAUCAAACAGGAUUAGAUACCCUGGUAGUCCGCACCGUAAACGAUGAUUACUCGUUGUUGGCGAUAUGACAGUCAGCGACCAAGCGAAAGCGAUAAGUAAUCCACCUGGGGAGUACGCCGGCGAACGGUGAAACGUCAAAGAGUAAGUAGACGGNGNGAGAGCGACGACGGACGACGACGAGGGAGGAG
rnacentral:rRNA from 1 species